rnacentral:rRNA from 1 species
CCCUUAGACGCUCUAGGCGGCACGCGCGCUACAAUGGGUGGUAGAACGUGUAACUGCUCCCGAAAGGGAGGGUGAACCACGAAUACUUACCCGUGAAUGGGAUAGUUUGUUGCAAUUUUCGGACUUGGACUAGGAAUCCCUUGUAAGAAUGCUCAAGAAUAGCGUGCUGAAUACGUCCCUGCCGUUUGUACACACCGCCCGUCGUUUCUUCCGACUGAUACUCAUUGUGAGUUGCAAGGAUUCUUAUUGAAAAAUUGCUGCGAAUGCUUUGUAUUGGAGGAAGAAAAAGUCGUAACA